GGAUGAUGUACAUCUUCCUUUUUUUAUACAAAGAUAGAAGGCCAGCUUCCUUCUCCACAUCACUGAAAUCUUUAUCCUCUUUGUUCUCCCUCCCAUAUGGCUGUUUACCGUGAAUUAGAGGUCAAUUAUUAAACCCUAGAGGUACUGCAAGAAUAUCAGAGAGGCAGUUGCAGCCACAACAACACUUGUGAUGUCACAGAAGCAGCUAGGGAGUCCAGGUUACAAGAGAUACUUGCAGUAGGGCCAAAUCAUGAUGUCACUGUGAACUGCCAUGUCCUACCUGCUAAACAGAUUUCCCUACAUUGACCAGAUUUUGAGUGCCCUUUCCAGGAACUGUAAGAGCAGGAAGUCCAGAUGCUUCUGAGAGGACCCCAGCUCCUAAUUCCCAUUUGUAGACGGCUCAGAUCAAGACAAUCUCUUCAUGAAACAACUCAACACCUACUAAGGACUCAGAGAGCUUUCCCAAGGACCUUUUUUGUACCAAGACAGAAGGACCAAAACCAUCAGCUUUAAAGAAAACUGUGCCCUUCCCAACACUUGGCUUUGGAAAAAAGACAUGAAUGAUAUAAAUUCUCCGACUUCCAGGAACCAUAACUAGCAGGGAAGUCCAGA